rnacentral:rRNA from 1 species
GAUGAACGCUGGCGGCGUGCCUAAUACAUGCAAGUCGAGCGAAUGGAUCAAGAGCUUGCUCUUAUGAAGUUAGCGGCGGACGGGUGAGUAACACGUGGGUAACCUGCCCAUAAGACUGGGAUAACUCCGGGAAACCGGGGCUAAUACCGGAUAACAUUUUGAACCGCAUGGUUCAAAAUUGAAAGGCGGCUUCGGCUGUCACUUAUGGAUGGACCCGUGUCGCAUUAGCUAGUUGGUGAGGUAACGGCUCACCAGGGCAACGAUGCGUAGCCGACCUGAGAGGGUGAUCGGCCACACUGGGACUGAGACACGGCCCAGACUCCUACGGGAGGCAGCAGUAGGGAAUCUUCCGCAAUGGACGAAAGUCUGACGGAGCAACGCCGCGUGAGUGAUGAAGGCUUUCGGGUCGUAAAACUCUGUUGUUAGGGAAGAACAAGUGCUAGUUGAAUAAGCUGGCACCUUGACGGUACCUAACCAGAAAGCCACGGCUAACUACGUGCCAGCCGCCGCGGUAA